UACGAAGGGUGCAAGCGUUACUCGGAAUUACUGGGCGUAAAGCGUGCGUAGGUGGUUUGUUAAGUCUGUUGUGAAAGCCCCGGGCUCAACCCUGGGAAUGGGCAAUGGAUACUGGCAGGCUAGAGUGCGGUAGAGGGUAGGUGGAAUUCCCGGUGUAGCGGUGAAAUGGCGUAGAUAAUCUGGAGGAAUACCGGUGGCGAAGGCGGCAUCCGUGGACCGGCAUUGACGCUGAGUGAGCGAAAGCUAGGGGAGCAAACGGGA
rnacentral:rRNA from 1 species